CCCGCACAAGCGGUGGAGCAUGUGGUUCAAUUCGACGCAACGCGAAGACCUUACCUGGGCUUGACAUCCGCUGACCGUCCUGGAAACAGGAUCUUCCCCCGCAAGGGGACGGCGAGACAGGUGCUGCAUGGCUGUCGUCAGCUCGUGUCGUGAGAUGUUGGGUUAAGUCCCGCAACGAGCGCAACCCUCGUCCUAUGUUGCCAGCGGGUCAUGCCGGGGACUCAUGGGAGACUGCCGGGGUCAACUCGGAGGAAGGUGGGAUGACGUCAAAUCAUCAUGCCCCUUAUGUCUUGGGCUUCACGCAUGCUACAAUGGCCGGUACAAAGGGGCGCAAGACCGCGAGGUGGAGCAAAUCCCAAAAAACCGGUCUCAGUUCGGAUUGCAGGCUGCAACUCGCCUGCAUGAAGUCGGAAUCGCUAGUAAUCGCGGAUCAGCUACGCCGCGGUGAAUACGUUCUCGGGCCUU
rnacentral:rRNA from 1 species